rnacentral:rRNA from 1 species
ACACGACUACAUUAGAUACCCCUGUAGUCCAGGGUGUAAACGCUGCGGGCUUGGUGUUGGGGGUCCUUUGAGGGCGCCCAGUGCCGGAGAGAAGUUGUUAAGCCUGCUGCUUGGGGAGUACGUCCGCAAGGAUGAAACUUAAAGGAAUUGGCGGGGGAGCACCGCAACGGGAGGAGCGUGCGGUUCAAUUGGAUUCAACGCCGGACAACUCACCAGGAGCGACGGUUACAUGAAGGCCAGGCUGAUGACCUUGCCUGAUUUCCG